rnacentral:rRNA from 1 species
UACGUAGGGGGCAAGCGUUGUCCGGAAUUAUUGGGCGUAAAGAGCGCGUAGGCGGUCCGAUAAGUCGGCUGUGAAAGUCAGGGGCUCAACCCUUGAAAGCCGGCCGAUACUGUCGGACUAGAGUCCGGAAGAGGCAAGUGGAAUUCCCGGUGUAGCGGUGGAAUGCGUAGAGAUCGGGAAGAACAUCAGUGGCGAAGGCGGCCUGCUGGGCUGUUGCUGACGCUGAGGCGCGACAGCGUGGGGAGCAAACAGG